rnacentral:tRNA from 1 species
GCCCCUUUGGUGGAAUUGGUAGACACACGGCACUCAAAAUGCCGCGCCGAAAGGCAUCCCGGUUCGAGUCCGGGAGGGGGCACCA